rnacentral:rRNA from 1 species
GUGUCAGCCGCCGCGGUAAUACAGAGGGGGCUAGCGUUGUUCGGAAUCACUGGGUGUAAAGGGUGCGUAGGCGGUUAGUUAAGUCUGAUGUGAAAUCCCUCGGCUCAACUGGGGAACUGCAUUGGAAACUGGCUAGCUAGAGUACCGGAGAGGGAAUCGGAAUUCCUGGUGUAGCGGUGAAAUGCGUAGAUACCAGGAGGAACACCGGUGGCGAAGGCGGAUUCCUGGCCGAGUACUGACGCUGAGGCACGAAAGCGUGGGGAGCGAACGGGAUUAGAAACCCGCGUAGUCC